UUGAGAAAGAUAUGUAUGCAAAAGAUGUUUUGUAUGCAUGAAUGAAAAUUGAGUUUUGAACUAGUUUGACAAAUUAUUUCUUCAUUUAAAGUAUGUUUAUCUUUUGUUUUUUCAAUGGUUGAAAAAUAUAAAUCAAGAGUUGAAAAAGAUAUGCAUGUAAAAGGUGUUUUGGAUGCAUGAAUGAAGAGUACGUUUUGAACAAAAUUUGGGGUUUUGUUCCUUGUGGUAGGCACAGCAUUAAGGGGGUUUUUUGGGCAUGUGUUUGUGUUUUAUUGUAAGACACUCACACAUCAUUUUAAAGCUAGAAAGUAGAGCCCUUGUCACUUUAGUUUUUGGGUUUGAAAAAUCACCAAGAAUACACAAAUCUUGAAAAAGUGUUCAUGGUUUUGUUCUUGGUGUUCAUGGUUUGUUUGUGGGUGAAAAUGGUUUUAUUUGGUUUUAAUAAAUUGUUUUAUGGUUUUGGAUGAUAUACUUAUCAUCCAUAGCCUUCCCAAAAUUUUUUAAAUCCUACACUUGACUAGGAAAUUUCCAUCACCCUUUUCACCUAAGUUUUAAUGACAAAACCAAGUAACAAGCAAAUUUGGAUUUUUCUACCUUGUAUUGAAUUAAAGCAAGAUGGGUGAGACUUCCCAUCUCCCCUUAAUGUGGCCGGCCACCCUAGUGGAUUUAUCCACUUGUGGGGAUUUUUGUAAUUUGGAAAAAGAUAUUUUAUACUUUUAAGUAUUUACGGUUUGACCCCUAAAUUUUUUAUAUUUGCAUUUAGGCCCCUACUAACUAGAAAGUUAAAAUAUUUGAUUUUAAUUUUGUUAGUUGUUUAAACUCAUAAUACUAUUAUGCCCAUAUGCACUAAAUCUAAUUGUUUAUGUUGCAUUCCAUUUGAUUAUUUAAUGUGAUUAAGUAGUUAGAAAAAUGGGUGACUAUGGACUUAUGCCUUAAACGAUAAUUGAGCUUUGAGAUAAGGCGCUAAAAUCAAAUUGUUUGAACCUUGGGAAUGUGUUUUAAUUACUGUUUUAAUUGGACCUUGUCACGUUUGACAUUAAUCUAUCUCUCCCUCUUAGUAUGUGUAAUUUGUAGGAAUUUGUACAAAUCGGUUUGUAAUUCUUAUUAUUUCUUAAACUCUUUUAGUUAGUUGAUUCCCUCUAGUGCUAGACUAGAGUUUCUUUAACUAUUGGUAAGGAGCAUGGAAGAAAAUAUCGAUAAUAUCGGCGAAAUAUCGCCGAUAUUAUCGGUUUUUCAGGUAAUGGAUAUUUAAAUAGGUAUCCAAAUGGUUUUCGGAAAAAUAUCGCGAUAUUUCCAAAAAUAUCGCGAUAUUUUAGAAAUAUCGCGAUAUUUUUUUAACCGUGCUACUCGGAGAAGAACGCCGGAGCUUCUA
rnacentral:lncRNA from 1 species